ensembl:lncRNA
CCAUAGGGAGUGGGCGAAACGCUCUGAUGAUAUUGUAUGACGCACGCACGCACACACACACACUACUGCUGAGAUCUACAGAGCACAAGUGUGCUCGCUCACACACACCUACACACGCUAAGAAUGAAGUCUCCUUUUGUGAAUGCCACAGCACCUUGUUACGAGGCGCACUGCUGAAACAUCCUGGCACACCACUCUGUGAAUACGAGUGUGUGUGUGUGUGUGUGUGUGUGUGUGUGUGAGCUCAACCUCAGCAACCAGGGCAACAGGUGAAAGGGUGACCAAACAAUGAAGCUGUUCAUGUGUGUGUGUGUAUGAACCUGUUCAUGUGUGUGUGUGUGUGUAUGAAGCUGUUUGUGUGUGUGUGUGUGUAUGAAGCUGUUUGUGUGUGUGUGUGUGUAUGAAGCUGUUUGUGUGUAUGAAGCUGUUUGUGUGUAUGAAGCUGUUUGUGUGUGUGUGUGUAUGAAGCUGUUCAUGUGUGUGUGUAUGAAGCUGUUCAUGUGUGUGUGUGUGUAUGAAGCUGUUCAUGUGUAUGGAACAGGUAGACUGAUAGAUGGGUCUUAAUGAGGCAGCAGACUUCAGCACUCAGAUGUGCUCAGUUGUAGAAAGUUCAGAGGUGUGUUUAGUACCGCUUUCAACGCUCAGAUGUAGAGCUGUGUUCAGUUGUGAAGAUGUGGCCCACAGUAUCUCUGUCUCCCUAACCCGUCAGUGCUCAAACAUCCUCCAUCAAUGGACAUCCAGUGGUCUGUGUGUGUGUGUGUGUGUGCUUGCAGCCGUCUAACAUGAUGAAUGGGAGUACAUCAGACCCAAGGCUGCAUCCUGAAGAGUUUGGUUUGUGCUACGCCAACAGGCUCUUCUAAUGAAGGCAGAGGGCUUCAGAGCACGCUUCAGGAGGUCCAUGGGGCCCUCUCAUGGAAACAGGAACUUGUUACAGCAUCGUAACAGGUUUCCAAAGCCUGUAGCCAUAGAUUAGGAAAGAACUGGACUGGUAGGCUCGGACUAAAAGGGGCUUUAUAACCCGAUAACUGGCUUGGAAUGACGUGAAGUGUGUGUGUGUGUGUGUGUGUGUGUGUGUGUGUGUGUGUGUGUGUGUGUUGAAGUGUUGGACCGUAUGCUGGAAGGGGUGGAGAAGAAUGAACCCAUCAAUUUAGUGGAGCAAUGCUUCAAAACAAAGGAUGUCUGGCAGAUCAAGUUGGCUGCCACUACAAGUCAAGUCAAAGUGUUCUGUGUGUAGGUGUGUGUGUGUAUGUUACUAAGUCAAAGUGUUCUGUGUGUAGGUGUGUGUGUGUGUGUGUAUGUUACUACAAGUCAAAGUGUUCUGUGUGUAGGUGUGUGUGUGUAUGUUACUAAGUCAAAGUGUUCUGUGUGUAGGUGUGUGUGUGUGUGUGUAUGUUACUACAAGUCAAAGUGUUCUGUGUGUAGGUGUGUGUGUGUGUGUGUGUGUGUUACUACAAGUCAAGUUAAAGUGUUCUGUGUGUAGGUGUGUGUGUGUGUGUAUGCUACUACAAGUCAAGUUAAAGUGUUCUGUGUGUAGGUGUGUGUGUGUAUGUAUGCUACUACAAGUCAAGUUAAAGUGUUCUGUGUGUAGGUGUGUGUGUGUGUAUGUUACUAGAAAGUCAAGUCAAAGUGUUCUGCGUGUAGGUGUGUGUGUGUGUGUGUGUAUGUUACUACAAGUCAAGUAAAGUCUUCCUCAGUUCCUUUCAUCUGAUGUGUUCUAGAGUAAAAGGGAGAGGAUGCUGAUGUGGUCUAGAGAGAGGAUGCUGAUGUGGUCUCGAGUAAAAGAGAGAGGAUGGUGAUGUGGUCUAGAGAGAGGAUGCUGAUGUGGUCUAGAGUAAAACGGAGAGGAUGCUGAUGUGGUCUAGAGUAAAAGAGAGAGGAUGCUGAUGUGGUCUAGAGAGAGGAUGCUGAUGUGGUCUAGAGGAUGCUGAUGUGGUCUAGAGUAAAAGAGAGAGGAUGGUGAUGUGGUCUAGAGAGAGAGGAUGCUGAUGUGGUCUAGAGUAAAAGGGAGAGGAUGCUGAUGUGGUCUAGAGGAUGCUGAUGUGGUCUAGAGAGAGGAUGCUGAUGUGGUCUAGAGUAAAAGAGAGAGGAUGGUCAUGUGGUCUAGAGAGAGGAUGCUGAUGUGGUCUAGAGAGAGGAUGCUGACGUGGUCUAGAGGAUGCUGAUGUGGUCUAGAGGAUGCUGAUGUGGUCUAGAGUAAAAGGGAGAGGAUGCUGAUGUGGUCUAGAGAGAGGAUGCUGACGUGGUCUAGAGGAUGCUGAUGUGGUCUAGAGAGAGGAUGCUGACGUGGUCUAGAGGAUGCUGACGUGGUCUAGAGGAUGCUGAUGUGGUCUAGAGUAAAAGGGGAGAGGAUGCUGAUGUUGGUUUCAUCUCAUUUCAUUCUUAUAUUAAAAUGCUAAUCCUGCUUCCGUCCACCACCAAUACCUGAUCAAAUGUCUGAAAGACACAGUGGGUGAUCUGAAUCAGUGGGUGAUCUUUUUCUGUUGUGGAGUAUUCCUGCACAAUGCAACUGCAAGGCAACUACUGAAGCGAAGACAUGCGAAAGAGUGUUCAGAUUCUGUUCAGGUCAGCAGUUCCAGGGAAAGACACAGGUGAUGUCAUCUAGUCCACUGACGUUUAAUUAUGGCAGCCCUGUGCCUCGUCUUCUGGCGGUCCUCUCUGAGUCCAUCUGACCCGGGCCUCAUGUUCUCUCUGAGUCCAUCUGACUGACAGCACAUCUAUACUGGGCCUCAUGUUCUCUCUGAGUCCAUCUGACUGACAGCACAUCUAUACUGGGGCUCCUGUCCUCUCCGAGUCCAUCUGACUGACAGCACAUCUAUACUGGGGCUCCUGUCCUCUCCGAGUCCAUCUGACAGCACACCUGCACCGUGCGGGUCUCCUGGCCCAGACCUGGGACCUGAUACCACUCAGCCCUCCCUCUAUGUGGUGGUGCCAUUACGGUAGCGUAGGGUGGCCCUCCUUAUAGUGGGUUAGGGAGCCACAUGGACCUCAGAACACACAGACAGACACCCUGCAGGCAGGCAGACAGACAGACAGGCAGACAGGCAGACACACACAC